CUGUUGUUAUAAGGGUCAGCCAGGUGUGUGGUGUGAAGGAAAUGAAAGAGGCCCACGCUUUCCAGUCCCACCCACAGAUAACAAGCAUAACCCUGGAACCAGUCAUUGCUUGCUUAUAGUUCCAUCAGCCUGUGUUAAGGCUAAGGCUUCACAGAGUGCCCAACAAACUGUGUCCUACUACUACUGGCAAGGCUAGUCCAAAAAGUUGUGCUCACUUGGACUUAAAGGGAAUUCUGCAGUCUUAGUUGGAUUUGCCUUUCAGCAGUGGGUCAGUAGGAAAAAAAAAUGGUUCUCCCCCCCAUUUUUUUUUUUUUUUGUCUUUUUCAUUUUUAUUGGUACCAGGGAUCGAACUCACGACCACACACUUGCAAGGCAGGCGCUUAUGCCGCUGAGCUAAACCCCCAGCCCCUUGAGCUAAACCCCCAGCCCUGGUUAUCCCCUUUUAAAGUUUACUUUCUACCAUAAAUGUUUGUCUGAAGAUUCUUUUUCAGAAGUCUCACUUACGAUAAUAAUUUAGAAAACGAAAAAUAUAUAAAAUUUUCUUGGAGAAAAAGAUAUCCCAAUUGCCAUCAUACUGAAAACUAGUAUAUCUCACAAUGGGUGGCUAGUACAUAGUAAAUCUUUAGUAAGUGCUGGUCAUGCAGUGGCAAACUCCAAAAUCAUCCCAAUCCUGAGGCAGAAAGAAUCUCAAGAGUAUCUUCUUAUCCAAUAGACUGCUCAGAGGCCACUUAUGACUCCUGGGCUACAGAUUCAAUAAGCUGUCCCCCUCCACACACCACUCAAGGUCUAUACACUGAAAUAAACUGUUGUUAAUGACCUCUACUCUGUAUUCCCUACUCUUGAGUAAUGAAGUUAACUCUCUCACUGUAUUUCUGGGUGGUGCCUCAUUAUAUUCUAUUGUGCAUCGAAACCUACUUCCCAGAGAUGUCUUUCCCAAAAGAAAUGGAAGUUUGGAUCAGAAGGCUUACUUCCUGUGGUCAGCCAGCACAAGCAGCAAGACCCAGCCAGAUAUGCCUCUGCUUAUUGGCCACCACCAUUAGAAGGCUUGCUUCCUGCAGGGAAGCCAGUGUGGGCAGGGAGAUGCAGCCAGAUAAGCCCUGUGCACCCACAGGCCACCAUUGGAAACCCUUGCUUCAUUCAGGCAGCCAGUGCCCACUGAGAGAAUCAGGCAAACCCACCCCUGCAUGCCUGCUACCAUCAGGGGAGUCCUGGUGUACACAUGCACACGAAAGCUGAGAGAAGAAGCUGCCCCACCACCAUGCACACCUGGCUAUCAGGGAAGCCACAGUGUAGCUGCACAGGUCUGGAGGAACCUGCCCCACACCCUGCUAGGUUGGAACCUGGGGUCAGAGAAACCCAGGUGUCUGUCCCAUUCUUGUACACCGCAGAGGAGCAGCCAAUGUGGGAAGUAUCUGGGACUCCACAACUGGCUUGUUGGGGGGAACCAAGGAGAAUGUCAAGACAAAGGAGCAAAAGGCAAUCUCAGAUCUCCAGCCCACACAAAACAAGUGUAGGAGAUAUAGUCAUGGAAGAAAAUGGAAGUGACAUACCUGAAAUCUCUGAGAGGAUAGCAACUGAAGUAAAGAAGCAACUUCAUGAGACUGUGAAAGUAAUCAGAUCAGAAAUAAUGUCUCAGGUGAAGAAAUUACAAAGAAUUGCUCAGUAUAUCUAAAGAAGACAGAUAAAAAAGAGGAGCAUAGGAAAAUGAUAGAAACCUUUAAUGAACAAUAUAGGAAAGAUUUACAAUGCAUGAGACAGAUUCAAAGAGAUAUCCAAGAAAUCAAAAGCCUAUCACAAGCUGGCAAAAUCAUUUGAAAGACAGUGAAGAUAGACUUUCAGACCUUAAAGACAGGAUCCUAGCUAGAAAUCGUAAAAGGAAUGCUCGGUUAAAAAUAACAAGGAACCAGGAAAUAAUUUAACAGCUGCACUAUCAUGCAAAGAAAAGUAAUUUAAGAGUAGUAGGUAUCAGCAAAGAAGCAGGGGUCAACACAAAUGAAAUAGAAAGGCUAUUUAUAGACGUAAAAGCAGAAAACUUCCCAAACAUGGGAAAUGGAUCUGGCCUACAGAGAAGCGAGGUGUACCAAACUCCAACUAGCCAUAACCAAAGUAACUCUACACCCAGACAUAAUAAUCAAGGACCCAGAAACUCAGCACAAGUGCAGAAUAUUAAAAGCUGUUAGAGAAAAGAAACAGAUCACUUAUAAAGGAAAAACAAUCAGAAUCACGACAGACUUCUCAACACAAACCAUCAAGUCAAAAGGAAUUUGAAGUGUUUAAAAUACUGAAAGAAAAUGACUUCUAAUCCAGAUUGAUGGAUAAAUAAGCUACCUCCUUGAUAAAGAACAACUGAAGGAUUUCAUGACCACCAAACCAACCCUACAGAGUGUGCUGAAGGAUAUUCUAGAGAGAGAGAAAGGUGACCACGGUUCCAGGAACAGCAACAGAGAACUGCCAAGCAGGACAGGCAGUUGAAUGAAGGAGAAAAGUGGAGGACCAACAGCAGGAAGAUAGCACAGCAGAGAUGAACCAAUGUAUGCCAGUUGUAACCAUUAAUAUAGAUGGCCUCAAUUUACCAAUAAAAAACAUGAAGAGAGGAUCAAGAAACAAGAUCCAUCAAUAUACUGUGUACAAGAAACACAUUUAACUCAAAAGGAAAUUCAUAGACUGAAAAUCAAGGAGAGAAAAUAAUUGUUUCAUGCGAUAGGAAACCAAAAAAAAAAAAGGAUAACUUGCCUAUCAAUUGCAGAAUGGAUAAGAAAGAUACAGCAUUUUCAUACAAUAGAAAGCUACCCAGCUAGAAAGUAAGAUAAUAUCAAGGCUUUUGUUGGCAAAUGGAUACAACUGGAAAUCAUAUUGGGGCGAAAUGGCUCAAACUUAACAUGGGUGAACCUUAGCUUAAAAAACAAGUAGUUAGUGGAUUCCAAAAACACAAUAGUUACUAUAAAAAUGAUAGAGGAGGGGCUGAGGAUUUAGCUGAGUGGCAUAAACACCUGCCUUGCAAGCAGGCAGUCGUGAGUUCGAUCCCUGGUACUGAUAAAAAUGAGAAAGACAAAAAAAAAAAAAAAAAAAAAGAGGAGAAAACACCUAACAGGGAAAAGUAGUAACCACUGUAAUUUCUUGUUGUCUUGAACUCUUGUGUCAUUUUCAAAAUCUCGUUAGGUUUGGUUUUGUUCUGUCUUGUUUUGUUAGGUUUUCCUGUGUCUGAUGGUAUGGGCAGCUAUUUUGAAGAUAACAACAUAUAUUAUGGUAACCAUUGUUAGUUUCCUAUUCUCUUGUUUUGAAGUUCUAUAAUACUUUCAUUCUUUUGUUCAAUUGGUUUUAUUCUGUUUUGUUUUGGUCAAUCUUAUUAUAUGUGAUGGUAUGAACAGCUAUUUUGAAGAAAAUGAGACAUUAUAGUUUAGACAUUAUUUAUUUCCUGUUAUCUUGUUUUGAAGCCCUGUAACACUUUCAUUCUUUCAUUUUGAUUGGUUUUAUUCUGUUUUGUAUUAUUUGGUUUCAUUAUGUGUGAAGAUAUAGACAGCUAUUUUGAAGAAAACAGAAGACAUUCUGGUAGCCACUGUUCAUUUCCUAGUGUCUUGUUUUGAAGUCAUGUGUUGUUUGCGUUAUUCUGUUCUGAUUUGCUUUGUUGUGUUUUGUCCUAUUUUCUGUUUUAUUCUCUUUAAAAUUAAGAGAAAAGAAAUGGGAUAUUAGAUUAAGCUGUCAACUGAUACUCUUAACUAUUUUCCAGAUGUCAUUCCAAUUUGGGUUCAUUUUUUAUUGGUUUAAUCAUUCACAAUUGCCAAUCCAAAAGUCACAACACUUUUGAAACAAGGAUCAUGGUGAUGUACUGAAAAGAGAAUCAACUCACUAAACCUGAGUGUUCCCCAACAAAGGGUGCGGGGGUAAUCAAUGUCAAGUUUAUAGCCUGAUUGUUAAUCCCAAACACUCACUCUGAGCUGUUAGCUUCCAAGAGAUGAUAAUAGAAAUCAGCUUAAUUUAACUGGUCUGUGGGCAGCUUGUUUUGGAAUAUAAAAAGUGACUUGAAAAGUGAGGUCGAGGGCAUACAAAAACCAUUUUAAAUUUUGGGAGUGGACUUCUUGUUUAAAGCAUUACUCACUGAGAGUCUACUAGUCAAAGACACUGUCAACAGGGAUCUACAAAAUAAAAAAGACUUAUUUUGCCUCCAAGGAAGCUUAUAGUAUGGUGAAGUAUAUACAUACACAAGUAAUUCUACAGAGAGCAUAAAAGAGCUUGCUCAGAGAACAGCUAGUUUCCAAAUCAGUUAAGUAAAAUUAUAAGGUAUGCCUCUGUUAAUUCCACUUAAGUGAGUGAAAACUUAGGUUAACAAUAUUGGGGAGGAAAAAAAGUUGUUUCUAGAGAUACCACCAUGACCCUGAUAGGUUUUCAGUUUAUCCUAACAAAAAUUCUAAAAGGUAGUACCACUAAUCCAAUUGUACUGCUAAACUUGUGACCUAUGGCCAAAUCUGUCUAAAAUAGGUCAGAGUACAGACCAACCUGAGUUUAUAAGAUUUCAGAGAUGUGUCCCACACUGCUGACUUGGCAGCAAAGAAAUAGGAAGGGACAAAGACCAGUUAAUUUACAUUUUACAAACAUUAAUAUGGAAGUACUAGCUAGUGGUAAAAAAAUAUAUAUAUAAAUAAAAAUAUACAAAUAUUUAUAUAUAAUGUAUAUUUUAUUGGUCUUCGGGCCUUGCUUAUGCUAUAUAAACUUUCAACCACUGAGCUAUAUCCACAUCCCCUAAAACUAAUAUAUGUCUUUAAGGGAAAUCUCAACAUAUGUUCCAGAAGAUACAAAAGAAUAUCACCUAUUAAACCAGGGAAGGGCACACAUUCCCAUAAUGCUAUAACCAUAGUAUGCUGAGACAGGAGGAUGCAAGUUUGAGCCCAACCUGGGCAGUUUUGCAAUUUAGCAAGACCUUGUCUCAAAAUUUUCAAAAGUGGGAAGAGGUGGAGGCUAACGCUAAGUGCAGAGGCUUUGGGUUCAGUCUGCAGUAGCCCCUCCCCAAAGAAUCACCUAUGACUGCAGGACUCUGUUUUAUUUCUCCAUAAAACCUAGUACUUGAGCACAAAGCUCCACAGGGUGAUUUUGUGGUGCCAUGCUUAUGCUCCAAGCUCUUGUGAGUUCCUAGGGAGUACUGUGUUCUAGAAGGACAUAUGACUUGUGUGACUUUCCUUUUUCUGAGUAGUCUUUCAUUGAGUCUCCCAAAAGCUAGCACUUUUAUCUACAGAUUACUAAACAUAAUUCCUAAACCAUAUUAACCACAUCUUUUACUUUACAUGCUAACAAGCAGCUGAAUAGAAAUUCAAGUUCUUUUCAUUCUCUCCUUGCUAUUCAGUGUGGUCCGUGGACCAGAAAAACUAGCAUCACUUGGAGCUACUAAACCCAGACCUACGCUGUCGCUGUGCUGUCCCCCUCAUGAGUCUAACAUGAAAUUUAAGAGCUCUGCUCUAGUUAGUUCACUUCACUGACUUUUCUGGACGGAUGUGCUAAUGAUACUCCGGCUUGGUGGUUCUAGGUUUGGUACCAUGCCCUCCUUGUGAGGUGAGGCCUCGGUGAUAGAUAGUAAGGUAACUAAGACGAAGCCCUGUGAUAAAAAGGAAGUAGAAUAAAAGACAGAUGGGAAUCUAGACAAUUUGAAAACAUUCCCCUGGACCAAUGAUACUUUCUGUAUGUAAAUACCCUGCCCUGCAAAAGAAUAGAGUUUAGAUUGGGCUUGGUGGCACGUGUCUACAUCCCAGCCCUGUGGGAGGUGAGGGGGAGGUUCACAAAUUCAUGUCCAGCCUGGGCAACUUAGCAAGGCCCUAACUCCAAAUUUUUAAAAACUGGAAAAAAAGCUGGCAGUGUAGCUCAGUACAAAUCAGUAUGAAGGCUCAUAGGUUCAAUCUCUAGUACUACUUAAAAAAAAAAAAGACAAAAUGGAGUUCAUUAUAGCUUUCAAUGGAGAUAACACAGCGCAACAUGGUGGUGGUUCCUCAAGAAGCAUAACUUAGUAAAGUAGUAAUAAAAAAAGAACAUUUGCACAUAUCUCCCAUACUCGCAUACUUCUAAGUAGUUCCUUCAUUCCUUAAUAACUAACUAUCCCUUUGCUGCUCUCAAAGAUGUAUGAGCACCUAUGACUGUUUACCCUGAGUGUUUGCUAUGCCCGUGUCCCAUGUCUCAGAGUACCUUUGUGCUCCGUUCUCCAGUUACAGAUAAACACUACCUUAGGCCAGGCCUCAGGGAGCUCAAGGUAAAUGCAAACAACUUCUAGACAAGCCUAUAAGUGCAAAUAGGAAGCUGUGGCUCCAAAUGGAGGGGAAAGGACUAAUUCUUUCCAAAUUCUCUUUCCUUUGUAAACAUUGUAACCUUGCCUUCAUGGCAAAAAUAUCCAUUUCAAGAAUGUUUUCAGCACCUAAAAUGGAAGUAUUGGAGAUAGCUACUUUCUUCACAAAUGGAAAUAGCUCUGAUAAAAACUGAAGCAUCAUUUGCUAUGCAACAAUAUUUCUUCUAUAAUUGUGAUUCAGCAUUCCAACACAGUGCUAUAUUCAGUGGUACUCAAAGCAUGGUUUGUGUAUUUGUUCCCAGCCACAGAUAAGCACACAAGAUAACUCAAUGGUGGUUUAGAUACCUUUUUAGCAAUUUGACAUGAUCACAAAAUGUAAACACAUCACCAGGGAACUAAUGUCAUUGGAUAGGCAGAUUUCAGGUGUUGAACUAAAUUUGAUGAAUUAUAUGUGGCAUGAACUUCAUAAUAACAGUAGUAGAGUAUUUUUAAGGUUAAUUUUAUAUACUGUGACCCUAAAGCCUAUAAGAUCCAGAAUUCAUCUGAGUUAUUUUUUUUAAACUAAAAAUAAUUUAAAUUUAACUAUAAAAGAUCAAUUCUGGAACUAGCUACUGAGGAAGAAUUUAAAAAUGAUUGUUGAAUAUAUAACAUCAUGUACUUCAUUUUGGGUAAAUUUGAAAAUGAAUAUUUGAGCCAGGCACAGUGGCACAUGCCUGUAAUCCCAGAACUUUUAAAGGCGGAGUCAGGAGAAGGAUAAAUUCAAGUAUUGCUAUGGCAACUUAGUGAGAUCCUAUUGUUAAAAUUUAAAAAAUUUAAAAGAGAUGGUGGUAUAGCUCAGUAUAAAGACCCUAGCGUCAAUUAUAUAAUGUAAUUUUAGUUUUAAAAAGAAAAAUAGGAGAAGAUAAACAACUGAAGCUUUACGAAAGCUGCUUUAAAUUCUUAUUUCCUUUCUCAUCCACCUAACUCAAUGAGACAGGUUUCUUUGCUCUGGCUAUUUUUUUUUUAUUUUAUCUUUAUUGAGACAGGGUCUCGCUAUGCAGUUCAGGCUGGCCUUGAGCUCACUUUGUAGCCCAGGCUGGUCUCAAACUCUCGAUGAUCCUCCCGCCUCAGCCUCCCAAGUGCUGGGAUUAUAGGCGUGAGCCACCAUGCCCGGCUGCUCUGGCUAUUAUUAAACUUAGAAACUGUGUAGAUAAACAUAAUCAAUCCCCUGUUACUCAUCUAUCCAAUCUAGAUAAGAUAAGAAGCAAAAGCAAGCUCAGUCAUCAUAUGAAAAACCUUAUUUACAUAAAAGGUAUUUGUUUCAAGUACGUAUAUUAGCAUUUAAUAUGGACAACUGCUAUUUUCUUUCUUUUUGUUUCAUCAUAAAUGUGGAGCAACAAAAAGUAAAGAAGCGAUAUUCCAUUAAUUGCCUGUGCUCAAUUGUUUUUUGUUUGUUUGUUUUUUGAGUACUGGGGAUCGAAGUCAGGACCUUUUACUUGCCAGGCAGGCAUUGUGCCACUGAGCUAUAUCUCUGAUAUACAUUUUUAUUUCUUACUUUAUUCUAUGGUUUUUCUCUCAUUGGACUUAUUGAAAGAUAUGUUUACUGAGUCUUAUAAUAUGAAAAUGUGGGCUUGCAUUUUGUAUUUUUUUUACCUAAGAAAUUCAUUUUUGUUCUGUUUACAAAGGUCAGCAUGAAUUGAGGGGUCUUAUCUGAGGUGUUUCUUCACCCCAGAAAGUUUAAGAAAAUGCUAUAGAAACUUAUAUGUUAAUGAUUAUUGCCAUCAAACCCAAAAUUAUUAAAAUGGAAGAACAUUACUAAUAAACUAAUAUAUAAUAGAGUUGAGUAACUCGGCAUGGUGGCACAUGCUUGCAAUCCCAGCACUCAGGAGACUGAGGCAGGAGGACUGCUGUUGACUCAAGGCUAUGAAUUAGCUUGAUUCAAUCAAAUAAAUAUAUGUGUUGCUUUUAAAUGAAUUAAUAUUUUAAAAAUCCAUUUUAAUCUCUAAUAUAUAUAUAUAUGUAUAUAUAUAUAUAUAUAUAUCACCAAAAAAUGUGUAUAACUCCAGCAAUUCAGGACCCUGACAAAUGGAUAAAUGUCUAGAAGUUAAUGGCUACUACAUAGUGAAUUCAAGGCCAACUACAUAGUGAGACCCUAUCUCAAAAAACAAAAAAACUGAAAUAAAGUGGGUAAGCUAAUACAAGUGGAAUGUUACCAAGGGUUAGACACUAUUCUGACUACUUUCUGUAUAUUAUGUUAUUUACUCUGAAUUUAUGAAUUAGCAAUUUUUGUAUCACCAUAUUACCAGUGAGGGACUUGAAGUACCAAAAGGUUACAUCUCUUGCCCAAGGUCUCAUAGCUCUAAAGUGGCAAAGCCCAGGUCUAGAGUCCAUGCUUUUAUCCACCAGGAACAUAAAACACACAUUGUAGUCAUAAUUCUCUAAGUGAUUAUGGGAUUAAGUGAGUCAUUUUAACCACUGUGGGAAAAGAAAGGAAAAAUUAGAAAAGCCCCUUCUAUAAGAGCUACACUGCAGCAGCCUUGCAGUGUACCAGGCAUUGAACUAAGUUGUUCGUGUAAGAUCUGAGUGUCUCCAAAGCGUGGGGCAACGCAGGAAAUGGUUUCAGGUAGUAGGGAAGAUGAUUCAGUGCUGCAUGGACCAGCAAAAAUCAGAUUGCAUAACAGAGUGAGAAAGCUAUUCCUUCUUCCCAUUUCUGACUUCCGCUGAUUACAUCUAAUAGACGAGUCCCCCUUUGGUGCUAGUCUAGAAUGCUUUCCUAACAUCUAUUUUCUUUCACAACAGAGUCUUUCUCAUUUUUAUUGCAUCCUUAAUUUAGGACAAGUAGUUUUUCGUUUAUGUUAGGGAUAUAGAAUUCCUUUUUUGUAAUUUUUUUGCUGAGAUCAGGAUUGAACUCAGGGCCUUUGCCCAUCCUUGGAAGGUGCUCUACCACUAAGCUAUAUCCCCCAGGAAUAUAAAAUUUCUUUUGGAAACAUUUAUUUAGGUUUUUAAAAUGGGUUAUAAGAAAAUACUAAGGGGAAAAAUAGAAUGAGUCUCACAUGAACAGAGGAAAGUUAUGAUAAUGACGUUUAGAAGAUACUUCAUUAUCUUCCAACAAGUCAGUAAUUACUAUUCUCUGUCUGAAGGUAGGAUAUCUAAUUCAGUAACCUUCCCAAGGCCAUUCUGUAGGAAGUAAGGAGUGGGAUUCAAACCUGGAAGUGUCUGUCUCCAAAGUCAGUGUCCUUAAGCACUGGAUGUACUGUUUUCCUUAUAUGGUAACCAUGUAUAUUUCCUCCCAGGAUAAGCCCUCUGAUCUCUGUAUGUACUUCAUGUUCUAAAACAGCAGUUCUCACAGGUGUGGUGGCAUAUGCCUAUAAUCCCAGCACUCAGGAAGCUGAGGCAGGAGGAUCUCUGUGAAUUCAAAGUCAGCCCGGCUACAAAGGGAAUUCAAGGCCAGCCUGAAUUGUACAGUGAGACCCUGUCUGAAAGAAUUUUUAAAAAUUUGUUUAAACAAACAAACAAACAAAAAACAAUAGUUCUCAGAAUCUGAUUCAGGAAUACUUCAGGUAAAAGCAGUUCCAUUAGAUACUGAGCUGUGUUGUCUCUUGCACUCCUGAUUGCUCCCAAAUGUACAGUAUUUUUUAGAGGAUAUAUGACAGGUGAUGUCACAAUACAGAAUGUGAGAAUUUAGCUGCCUUAUGUGAGACAGUAAAAAGAUUUUUAUAGGAACAUAAACAAUUACAUUUUUUUCACUGAAUCUUUUUUGUUUUGGAAAAUAAAGCUUUUUAAAAUAAAAAAUAUGUGAUUUUUAUUAACAUAAGUUUAUUGUUGCUUUUAAAUGAAUUAAUAAAUAUUUUUAAAAUCCAUUUUAAUCUCUAAAGUAGAAUACAUAAAUAUAUAAAUAAACAAAUUCCUUGGAGUCACCAAGAGUAUAAAGGGGUCUUGGAUACAAAGGUAUGGUUAGGGAAAAUAAAUAAUAAGUACUUAAGAUGAUAAGUAUAUGAAUUAGUUUGAUUUAGUGAUUCCACAGUGUGUGUGUGUGUGUGUGUGUGUGUGUGUGUAUAGCCAAAGAAUGUGUGUUUGCACUUCAGCAGUUCAGUGACCUGAUGGAUAAAUGUUUGGGAGCUAAUGGCCACCACUUUGAGCACUUCUUUAAUUGUAGAGGCCAGAGGUAACUUCAGUUAAUCUCAUGAUAUCUUAAUAAAUUUAAUAUCAAAAUAUUUAUGUAAGUGUUUCUUUUCCUGAUGUAUAUGUUUUUUGGUUCUCUCUCUUUCUCUCUAUCUGUACCUAUAUCUCUAUAUAUCAUAUCACUAUGAAUCUAACAGUUGUAAUUUUUCAAAAAUAAUAAAAGCUACUUUCUGCUUUAAGAAAAGGGAAAAAAGAAUAGAAAGAGAUCUCAAGAUAGAAAAUACGUGAUAGGGAUAUUUUUAACAGUAACCUUUUUCUUCACAUGCUUCUACCCUUAGUCUCUUACCCUGUCCCUUCUGUUCAGGCCCAUAAUCCUUAACUUUACUGCUGCAGAGGAGGGCAUUUCCAACAGGAAAGCAGAAAAUGAUAUCCAGGCUUUGUAUUUCCAAAAAGCCUAAACCUAUCAAGGAAAUUACACUCAUUGCUUUGAAGCAGUAACAAUGAAAUGGAGCAAGUACCACUGAGAGGGGAAAAUGACAUUAUUGAGAGAGAGCAGCUAAAUAGAUAAAUAUUUCUGACUUCAAAGGGUGGAUACAGGGAAGAACAAAGAUGAGAGGGAGCUUCGAGAAUCACAAAAAAGAGAGCCAGGCUGAAGGGAGCAGAAAGACAGAGACCAGACACACUGCUCAGUCUCAGCAGGGCAUUGCCAGUGUCCAGGAGCCACGUGAGAGCUGGGACUGUCACUGCCUGAAUCUGGAAUCUCUGAGAAUCACCCCACCCCUGCCAGUCCCAUGAGUGACACCAUCUGACUCAUCCAGCUGAACAACUGUCCCUUCAAAACAUCACCAACCCACCUGAAGCUAUGAGGAGACUGGGGCCCUGGACAUCUAGAGGGAUGAUGGGGCGUCCCAACUGCAAAUGCUCUGGAUUUCAGGGAAGAGUCCGAAUAAAAUCAACUGCAGGGCCACCCUGAUGUGGGCAAGCAGUUAACAUGCCGUUCCUCAACUAUUAGGAGCUAGAGAUACACCUGCUGGGUCAACAAGGGACAGUGUUACAAUCUGCCAAAAGUUGCAAUUGAUGGUAUUGAGGUGCAGUCCAGCCCAUAAGGGAGUUUCCUUGGUCCAGUGGCAUAGUUUUGGUUUGGUAGUUCAUUUUCAUCAGAAUGCAUUUGGGAUGGAAAAGUGCUGUUCAAAAACCAUGCUUUCUCCCUUGCAGCCACUUCGCCCUUAAAGAUUCCUUGCCUAGCCCCCAAGUACUACUGGGUUUUCUCGUCCUCUUAUACAAAAGACUUGAUCUACAAUAGACACUCCUCAGGGUGAAACCUAGCAAGUGGAAAAUCAUGAAUACAUGCAUUUUUGUGACAAUCCAUUCUUGGCUUUCAACUACCCAGAGGAAUCUAUGACAUUUGGAUUGGAAUCUGGGCUACUCUUUACUAGCUACGUGACCUCGAGCAUGUCGCUUAGCAUAUCCUGCUUCCAUUUCCUCCUCAGUGAAGUGAGGGUGUUCAUGAUGUUUAAGAACUGACCCAAGGAUCAGAGGAGUGCUUGCUGUCAUUAUCAAGGAGGUAGACCACAAAGAAGUGGGAAACCUGUGUCUCAGGAGCAACCCUCAUGUUGAGAGGUAAAUGAGGGCAGCUUUGGUGACCACGGCCUAUCUUCAGGAUGCAGCCUGUGUAGCCCUCAGAAUUCACUUACUCAGCAAAUGGUCCCACAUGGAGGUCAUGUGGGAAAGUACAGGGAGGCCACUUUGCACAUGGCCAAAAAAGUUAUCAGCUGCUAGAAAGUAAGUGUCUUGUUUUGAGAAAGAUCAGGGUCUGAAGGUAGCACUAGAAAGAACCAUAAGCUAUGAUCUUGGGACACAAUUUUGCCCCAGAAACCAAUGCCUCUUUAGUUUUGAUGUCUAGUAGCCAGGCUGGCCCACUGAAAAAGCAGAAGUGUCACAGUCAGCAGAAACUGGAAUCCUACUCCAUCACUGUUUAGCCGAGUGUUCUUGGGCAACUUACUAAACCUCCCUAAAUCAUGAUUUCCUCUUUUGCCAAACUGAGCAAUAACCUACUUUGGUUCAGUAGUUCAUUUUAUGCAAAACACUUACCAAGUACCCAAUAAACACUCUAUAAAGGGAGACAUUACUGUGGUCACAUGCCUUUACUAAACUGGGACUUGAGGGACCUGAGUAGAAGAGGGGUCCCAGUGUCUGAUUGCUCGAGGAAUCCUAGAAUAACCAACAACUAUUAGAGUGAAGACCCCAGCCUCAUUGUAUAUUUUCUUGCUCAAGCUCAAGUUUGCAGAAUUUUUAGGACUUCUUUGUGCUUAGGAACCAGGCAAGAAGAAAAUUAAGAUCAGAAUAUUCUUUCAAAACUAUCUUCUCCCUCCCCAGUAUUCCACGGAGUAUAAUCUGUGAUAUUGCUUAUUAUAAUGGAAAUCCACACUUGAUCUUGACCAAAAGGCUGAGAAGCAAUUGUAAUAGAAAUCUAAUCAAACCAAUUUAAGUACACAGUUUUCUCAGAGGCCAGGGUCUCAUCUUUUCUGCUUCCAAAGUAUGUCUGCUGCUUUUCUUUACCUACUUUCUCUUCUUUAUGAUGCACAUGGGCACAAUGGCUGAUCAGACCAUUUUGCUUGAUUGUUUCUGUUUGUUUUUAAUUUCCUGGUUUACAUACAGCAGAUCAGAGGUUCCCUGUUUGACUGCCCCAGCUCCUGCCACCUACCUGACCCUAAAAGCCCCAACCACAGGUGUGCAUAUAUUGGGAACGGUGGAAUGGUAGAGACUCAUAAUGUAUACAAAUACAUCUGUAUAUAAUUGCGUUAUGUGUAUGUGAAUAUAUGUCUAGAAUAAAAUACAAAACUAA